CGCAUGAAUGGAUUAACGA
rnacentral:snRNA from 1 species